AAAACAAUCCCAGAAGCUCCGAAAAAGUAAGCAGACCGUAUAAUUGCACCCAAAUUCUGAGGAUCAGUAACCUCAUCCAAAGCAACCCAAAGAGGAGUUGUAUCUUCCUCUAUUGAAACAGGUUCCAAUUCCUUGAUACCAACCAUUUCCAAUGGAGAAGUAUCGAGGACCAGUCCUUGAUGAGGCCUGUUAUCACUAAUCAUAUUGAGGUCAUGUUUAGAUACUUCCUUUAUACUUAAUCCAACUUUCUCCGCUGUCCUCAAAACUCUCUCAAACCCUUUCUUAUCCUUCUUCUUCCUGUUAUUCCCACUCAAAUCCAACCCUUCCUGAAUAUAGAGACCAUAAAAUUCCCUUCUCCCAGCUGACAAUGCAGCUAAAACAGGGCCAACACCAUAAACCCCCUCGCCUAUCAUUCUCGGUAGGGUUGAUUCAGAAGCCUCUUUCCAUGUCUUUUUACCCCAACUAUCUUGAUUGUUCCACCUUCUAACCUCCGGCCUAUCAGACCUCGGUCUUACCUUAAUCCGACUGAACCUGCUCUUAAUCCUAUCCCAUCUCGGAUCAUCCAUUUCUCCUUCAUCAUCUUCUUCUCCACUAUUACUUGUGCUCUUAUAAUUGUCUCGUCUAUCCUCAUAUCUCUUAAAUUCUACACUUCCCUCAGCACCUUUAAACAAUUUAUCAGCCGAUUCCCCCCAAGAAGACCUGUUCAGAACCACCUUUUCAGGUCUUUUAGUUUGUUUAACUUUAUCUUCUUCAAGCCAAGGAAGACUCUUUUCACUACCCUCUGCAAUUUCCGUUGAAAAACUUCUAACAGUAAUCGAAUGUUGGUGAGAUUUCGGGCGAACCCCACAUGAAAAGUUCAUAGAUAUUUCUAAGUUCCAAAGGGGUUUAGUAGAGCAGAAAAGGAGUAAAGAUCUGGGGGUAUGAAACUGUUUCAGCAUAAUGGAUAAGAAACCCUUUAGAGAGAAGAUCAAUGGCUGCUGCGAGCUGGACUAUAUUCACCUCAAGGAUUUUAG
rnacentral:misc_RNA from 1 species